rnacentral:rRNA from 1 species
AGAGAGAGACAUGCGCGCAUAUCAAUAAGCGGAGGAAAAGAAACUAACAAGGAUUCCCUUAGUAACGGCGAGUGAAGCGGGAAGAGCUCAAAUUUGAAAUCUUCAAGGUUUUACCUUGACGAAUUGUAGUUUAAAGAAGUGUUUUCUGCUGAAGUUUUGGUAAAAGUUCUUUGGAAUAGGACAUCAUAGAGGGUGAGAAUCCCGUAUUUGACCAUUAUUUUCAGCUUUGUGAUACACUUUCAAAGAGUCGGAUUGUUUGGGAAUGCAGUCCAAAAUGGGUGGUAAAUUUCAUCUAAAGCUAAAUAUUGGCGAGAGACCGAUAGCGAACAAGUACCGUGAGGGAAAGAUGAAAAGAACUUUGAAAAGAGAGUUAAACAGUACGUGAAAUUGUCAAAAGGGAAGCGUUUGACACCAGUGUUGUUUUCCUCGAAAAUCAAUUAAAAAUGGCUCGAUUUUGUAUUGUUGAGACCUUAAAAGCUCACUGUACAUUUUUCGUGUCUUUUUUAAUGCACUUUUCGUUUAACGAAGUCAACAUCAGUUUCUUUUGUUGUAAAAGGGUCAUUGGAAGGUGGCUUUCUUUUCGGAGAAAGUGUUUAUAGCCUUUGGCCUCUGCAAUCGAAGAGACUGAGGUCUGCAGCGUAGACUCUUCGGGGUUAGAUACAUUUGUGCUAAGUUAUAGCUUUUUAUAGACAACUUGUUGACUAUAAUUAGUCUUGUAGCUUACUCGCUUAUGCUAUUUUACCUACGCUUAGGAUGUUGAAGAUGUAGCACAUCAU